ensembl:ncRNA lncRNA:CR43635 long non-coding RNA:CR43635
ACUAUGUGGAACCACAAGAUGUUAGAGAAUCAAUUGCAGGGCAAUAACUUACAUAAAGCAUAUGUGCACAUCUCUCCACAAAGCGUUGGUUCAUGGCCUUAUGACUACGGCUGCUUCUAUGGCAUGGAUAUGGCUUUCGUGCUUGGUUCGAACCGAGUCAGACCCCAGCUCCAGCUCUAGCUUCGGCUACAGCUCCAACUGCAACUCAGACGCAGACUCAUACUCAGACUCCUCGGCUGGACGAAUUGACGGCUGCUGCACGCUCUUGUGUAACCUUUUAAUCCGUUUUGUAAGCAGAACGUAACGCACGUUCGCAUAAAAAGCAACAGCAACAAAAAAGCAACAGCAAUUGUGGGACCGGCAGCGGAAACAAGCUGCACACAAUGGAUCCAUACCCGAGCUGAAGCCCAAUACCCAUACCCAUACCAUCCAUACUCAUACUUAUACCAUCCAUACCCAUUUUCAAUCCCAUAGCCAUUCCCAUGCACAUGGCAAUCCACGUUGGAGAUGCUAAAAGCUGACAAGGAGGUAGCUUAAUUUAAAUAUUUUCAAUAACUAAUUCAAUCUAUCUUGAUUUACUAUGCAGUAUUAAGCUAGUUUUAUCAGAAGGUAUUCUUGUAACUCCAUACUAACAGACGUCAAACUGAUACCGAAAAUGUAUAUAUAUGAAAUAAAAAAAUUGUACUG